AUAUUUUACUAUUUACACACGGUAAUCUCCAACAAAUUCUCAAUUUUUUUUUUCCCAAGUGACAAUGUUCUUCAUGCAAAUAUGCUGUAGCACGCACGAAACUACUCUGCUAACUUCAUUUUCAAAACUCAUUGUCCCAUUUUUGUUGCACAUCAAGAACUACUUGUCUAGAAAUUUCUUUAAUUUUUUUUCCUAAAUGAUAAUUGAUGUGAGCCAAAACUGAUUUUUUUUUUGGGGGUAUUUUGGGGUUUUUGAGUCUUUAAGAUCAGCUAUUGCUAAAUCACAAAUUAGAUUGCUUUCCUCCAGAUUUCCCAACUCAUUUUUUUCGCAAAGCCAUAUGAACAUGAUACGAUAAAUAAGGGAAAAGAAAAUGGGGUCAUAUUUGGAACUUUGUCAAUGCUGAAACAAGGUUAUGUUUGAAAUUAGAAAGAGUAUAUAGAGUAAAAUUUUUAUUUUUAAUUUUUAAAAAUAAGUGUAAAAAGUAAAUAGAUCUUCAGCGUAUCAAUUAGAGAGCAUAUAUUCCAUCCUUUUAAUUUAUAGUGACUAGAAAAUAACUAAUUGAGGUGAUAUAAGAGAUUUAAGAAUUCGAAUCAUACAUUCCAAUUAUACCAUAAGCUAGAAUAGGGGAUUUUGUUCAGUUGUAUGACUUAUAGUGUGUGAUUUGUGUGCAUCUGAUCAUUACUCAUGAGGAUGAGAAUUGAAUAGAACUAGAGUUAACUUAAUGCCUAGCUACUUAUUACAAAUAUUGGGGUGUGUGGAUCUAAAAACUUUUCAUCGAGCAAAUUUUUUUCUGUUCAUGCUCGAUGGCGAUGAUUUUUCUUCUCCAAUAAAUAAUGUAUUGAUUUCAUAUAACAUCUUAUAUAUGUCAGUGAGAUUGAUAUUGUUCACGAUCCAUAUUUUUUCUAAGUAAUACCUGAAUGAUAUAUAUUGCUUGUGGAAUCUUAGUAAUAACUAAACCUCAACAAUGUAAUUUCAUUUAUAGGUUGAACUCCCUUUAAAAAAAAAAAAAGGAGAAAAAGAAGAAGAAGAGAAACUAUAUAUUUGGUCAAUAGAGUCGUUGCCAAUCAGUAAAUAAAAAAUAAAUUCAUCUAAAUUUUAUAAUUAUCAGCAGCUGUUGUUGUCUCACUCUCAUAAUGUCAAAGACACAGAAUUUUGAUGCGUGCACGUGUUAUUUAGCAAUGGCUCUAUUCAAUUCAGGCUUUCCACCCCCCUACUCUACUCCUUGAGUCAAAAAUUAAACUAGCUUUCAGUCUUGUAAUUGCAGUUUUUCCACAAAUUAAAGUUCACGUCGCUUUCGCUUUUUCAUUCUUCUUUAGAUUUUUUUUUUAAUGCUUUUCAGAAAUCACUCAAUACUUAUCGCUAUCUUUUAAUUAUUGGAUAUUGAAAAUUUAAUGCAAU
rnacentral:lncRNA from 1 species